GGAAGUAAAAGUCGUAACAAGGUUUCCGUAGGUGAACCUGCGGAAGGAUCAUUAUUGAAUAAGUUUGGUUAGGUUGUAGCUGGCUCUUAGGAGCAAUGUGCACACCUGCCAUUUUUUACUUCUCCACCUGUGCACCUUUUGUAGAUUUUGAAACAAUUUUUUGAGGUUUGCUGUGCGAAAGCCGGCUCUCCUUGUGUUUCUUGUCUACGUUUUUCAUAUACCAUUAGUAUGUUACAGAACGUUUGUCAAUGGGCUUAUGCCUAUAAAACAAUAUACAACUUUCAGCAACGGAUCUCUUGGCUCUCGCAUCGAUGAAGAACGCAGCGAAAUGCGAUAAGUAAUGUGAAUUGCAGAAUUCAGUGAAUCAUCGAAUCUUUGAACGCACCUUGCGCUCCUUGGUACUCCGAGGAGCAUGCCUGUUUGAGUGUCAUUAAAUUAUCAACCUUUCCAUAAUUUUUUUCAAAUUAUUGGUUAGGCUUGGAUGUGAGGGAUUUUGCAGGCUUCUCAAAAGUCAGCUCCCUUUAAAUUUAUUAGUCGAACCUUUGUCGAACUGUCUAAUGGUGUGAUAAUUAUCUACGCUAUUGACUAGACAUUAAUAGGAUUCAGCUUAUAACAGUCCAUUUAACUUGGACAAUUUUUGACAAUUUGACCUCAAAUCAGGUAGGACUACCCGCUGAACUUAAGCAUAUCAAUAAGCGGAGGA
rnacentral:rRNA from 1 species